GUUCUACUCCCUCCGUUCGGAAUUACUUGUCUCGAAAAUAGAUGUAUUUAGAACUAAAAUACGUCUAGAUACAUCCAUUUUCGCGACAAGUAAUUCCGAACGGAGGGAGUACAUC
rnacentral:pre_miRNA from 1 species